UACGGAGGGUGCAAGCGUUAUCCGGAUUCACUGGGCGUAAAGGGUGCGCAGGCGGCCAAGUGUGUGAGGCGUGAAAGCCUGGGGCUUAACUCCAGAAUUGCACCUCAAACUACAUGGCUAGAGCAUUGGAGAGGGUAGCAGAAUUCACGGUGUAGCAGUGAAAUGCGUAGAUAUCGUGAGGAAUACCAGAGGCGAAGGCGGCUACCUGGACAAUUGCUGACGCUCAGGCACGAAAGCGUGGGGAGCAAAAGGG
rnacentral:rRNA from 1 species